AGCGAACGCUGGCGGCAGGCCUAACACAUGCAAGUCGAACGAACUCUUCGGAGUUAGUGGCGGACGGGUGAGUAACACGUGGGAACGUGCCUUUAGGUUCGGAAUAACUCAGGGAAACUUGUGCUAAUACCGAAUGUGCCCUUCGGGGGAAAGAUUUAUCGCCUUUAGAGCGGCCCGCGUCUGAUUAGCUAGUUGGUGAGGUAAAGGGUCACCAAGGCGACGAUCAGUAGCUGGUCUGAGAGGAUGAUCAGCCACAUUGGGACUGAGACACGGCCCAAACUCCUACGGGAGGCAGCAGUGGGGAAUCUUGCGCAAUGGGCGAAAGCCUGACGCAGCCAUGCCGCGUGAAUGAUGAAGGUCUUAGGAUUGUAAAAUUCUUUCACCGGGGACGAUAAUGACGGUACCCGGAGAAGAAGCCCCGGCUAACUUCGUG
rnacentral:rRNA from 1 species